rnacentral:rRNA from 1 species
UACGGGGGGGGCAAGCGUUGUUCGGAAUUACUGGGCGUAAAGGGCUCGUAGGCGGCCAACUAAGUCAGACGUGAAAUCCCCAGGCUCAACUUGGGAACUGCGUCUGAUACUGGAUGGCUUGAAUUCGGGAGAGGGAUGCAGAAUUCCAGGUGUAGCGGUGAAAUGCGUAGAUAUCUGGAGGAAUACCGGUGGCGAAGGCGGCAUCCUGGACCGAUAUUGACACUGAUGAGCGAAAGCCAGGGGAGCAAACGGGG